CCACUUUAGAACUUUUGAUUGCCUUGAUUUACUUACUCCCUCCGUCUCAAUUUGAUUGAUACAGUUGACUGUUGUGCAUUAUUCACAUAUGUUGCUUUGACCUUAUUUUCCUACUAGUAAACAAAAAUAAAUAUUAGCAGAUAGUAUGUUGUUUGAUUCCUCUCAAUGAAUAUUUUUAAAAUAUUAAAUUUUUAUAAUUUUUACUAUUAUACAAUUAAAAAUAUUAAUCGUCAAAUUUAUUCAUCAAAAUGUAUAAAAUAGUCAAUUGUGUCGAUCUAAUUGAUACGGAGAGAGUAUGAAACUUGAGAAUGUUUUGUGAAAAAUAAAAGAAAAAAGAAUGUUAUUUUACCUUUACACGUGUGACGGAAUACCAAGCGAGACAACAAAAAAGACCAUGCAUUGCAUUGCACGCAGACGCAGAAUGAAAGCGGUGUAUUUUCG
rnacentral:lncRNA from 1 species